AGAGUUUGAUCCUGGCUCAGAACGAACGCUGGCGGCGCGUUUUAAGCAUGCAAGUCGAACGGUAGAGAAACUUCGGUUUCUUGAGAGUGGCGAACGGGUGAGUAACACGUAGAUGAUCUGCCUUGAAGUUGGGGAUAGCCUAUAGAAAUAUGGGAUAAUACCGAAUAAUCUCUUACCACUAUGGUGGUUUGAUGAAAGGGGCUUCGGCCUCGCUUUAAGAUGAGUCUGCGGUCUAUUAGCUAGUUGGUAGGGUAAAAGCCUACCAAGGCGACGAUAGAUAGCCGGCCUGAGAGGGUGACCGGCCACAUUGGGACUGAGACACGGCCCAAACUCCUACGGGAGGCAGCAGCUAAGAAUCUUCCGCAAUGGGCGAAAGCCUGACGGAGCGACGCCGCGUGGACGAAGAAUGCCGAGAGGUUGUAAAGUCCUUUUAUAUGCGAAGAAUAAUGCCUGUAGGUAAUGACAGGCAGAUGACGUUAGCUUAUGAAUAAGCUCCGGCCAAUUACGUGCCAGCAGCCGCGGUAACACGUAAGGAGCGAGCGUUGUUCGGAAUUAUUGGGCGUAAAGGGCAUGUAGGCGGUUACAUAAGUCUGGUGUGAAAUACUACAGCUUAACUGUAGAAACGCACUGGAAACUGUGUGACUUGAAUCUGUGAGGGGUAACUGGAAUUCCUAGUGUAGGGGUGAAAUCUGUUGAUAUUAGGAAGAACACCGAUGGCGAAGGCAAGUUACUGGCACAUGAUUGACGCUGAGAUGCGAAAGCGUAGGGAGCGAACAGGAUUAGAUACCCUGGUAGUCUACGCUGUAAACGAUGUGCACUUGGUGUCGGGGUUUCUAAGCCUCGGUGCCGUAGCUAACGCGUUAAGUGCACCGCCUGGGGAGUAUGCCGGCAACGGUGAAACUCAAAGGAAUUGACGGGGGCCCGCACAAGCGGUGGAG
rnacentral:rRNA from 1 species